GCCCAAGACAUCUAGCCACGCCACACCCACAAGGGCCCCCAGCAGUGAUCAACAUUAAAAAUAAACGUCAGUUUGAUUCAGCCAAUGAAAGUAGAACCGGCCAAUCUGGUGCCAGCCGCCGCGGUUACACCACGUGGUUCGAAUUGAUUUUUUCCGGCGUAAAGCGUGAUUAAAAGAUAUAACCUAUUGAGGUCAAACUCAAACUAAGCCGUAGCACGCUUGUUUUUAAGAAAGCCGCACCCUAAAAAUACCCCAACACACCCACUUGAACUCACGAUAACUGGGACACAAACUGGGAUUAGAUACCCCACUAUGCCCAGUCAUAAACUCUAACUUACACCCUCAUCGCCUGGGAACUACGAGCAAAGCUUAAAACCCAAAGGACUUGACGGUACCCCACAUCCCCCUAGAGGAGCCUGUCCUGUAACCGAUACCCCACGUUUAACCUCACCAUUUUUAGUUCUCAGCCUGUAUACUUCCGUCGCCAGCUUACCGCGUGAGCGCUUCAAGUAAGCCUAAUGUCCCCACCAACACGUCAGGUCAAAGUGCAGCAAAUAAGAUGGGAAGAGAUGGGCUACACUUUCUAUAAUAGAAAACACGAAAGACUACAUGAAAUACCAACCAGAAGGCGGAUUUAGCAGUAAGCAGAGAAUAGAAUACUCUCCUUAACCGGGCACUGGGGUGUGUACACACCGCCCGUCACCCUCUU
rnacentral:rRNA from 1 species